rnacentral:rRNA from 1 species
GUAUAUGAGAAAUAGGUAAGCCAGUGAACUGAAACAUCUAAGUAACUGGAGGAAAAGAAAGUAAAAACGAUUCUCUUAGUAGCGGCGAGCGAACGGGGAGGAGCCUAAAACAUAGUAGUGUAAAAGUUGACACGUUGCUAUUAUGUGGUAGAGGGAUAUACAAGAGAGGAUAGUCAUAAAUCUCGGUAUAUAUAUAUGUAAACGGAACAUAGUUGGAAAGCUAGACCAAAGAGAGUGAUAGUCUCGUAUAGUGUAAAGUAUGUAUAUAUUAGUAUAGAUCCCGAGUAGCGUCGAACACGAGGAAUUUGGCGUGAAUCAGCGAGGACCAUAUCUCGUAAGGCUAAAUACUUUUACUGACCGAUAGAGGAGAGUACCGUGAGGGAAAGGUGAAAAGAACCCAGAGUAUGGGAGUGAAAAAGAAUUUGAAACCGUGUGCUUACAAACGGUAGGAGCCGAAAGGUGACUGCGUGGAUUUUGGUUAAUCAUCCUGCGAGUUAUGAUAUGUGGCGAGGUUAAAAGAGUGGAGCCGAAGGGAAACCGAGUCUUAAGAGGGCGAAAGUCGCAUGUUAUAGACGCGAAACCUAGUGAUCUAGGCCUGUCCAGGUUGAAGCUGCAGUAAGAUGCAGUGGAGGACCGAACUCACCGCCGUUGAAAUGUUGGGAGAUGAGAUAGGUUUAGGGG